GCCUCGGUGGUGUAGUGGUAGCAUACGCCCUUGGUAUGGGUGAAACUCGAGUUCAACCCCUGUCUGAGGUC